rnacentral:rRNA from 1 species
GACGAACGCUGGCGGCGUGCCUAACACAUGCAAGUCGAACGGAAAGGCCCUGCUCUUGCGGGGUGCUCGAGUGGCGAACGGGUGAGUAACACGUGAGUAACAUGCCCUUGACUUUGGGAUAACUCCAGGAAACUGGGGCUAAUAUCGGAUAGGAGCUCCUGCUGCAUGGUGGGGGUUGGAAAGUUUCGGCGGUUGGGGAUGGACUCGCGGCUUAUCAGCUUGUUGGUGGGGUAGUGGCGUACGAAGGCUUUGACGGGUAGCCGGCCUGGGAGGGUGGCCGGCCACAUUGCGCCUAAGGUACGGCCCAGACUCCAACGGGAGGCAGCAGUGGGGAAUAUGGCGGAAUAAGCGGAAGCGUGAUGCAGCGACGCCGCGUGCGGGAUGACGGCCUUCGGGUUGUAAACCGCUUUCUCCUGUGACGAAGCGUGAGUGACGGUAAUGGGUAAGGAAGCACCGGCUAACUACGUG